rnacentral:lncRNA from 1 species
CAGUUAAGGAUAAAGUUAAAUCGGUUGAGAUGUUGCCCUAUUUCUCCUUUGCUUCCAAGUUCAAUCGGUUGAGGAUCAAUCUUCGACUGUUUGGGAAUUUAUGUUUGCAUUCAACCGGUAGAAAUGUUCAAUCGGACAAGACACUCCAUCUGAUGCUUAUGCUCUUCUUCUACUGGCUGAAGAUAGAUCCUCGACCGGUUGAACAUUCUGAACUUUUACUUCUGUGUUCUUCCUACCGUAGUACCUAAAUGUUUAACUGGUAGACUUGAAGAAACCCUAAACUUAGUGCAACCAACUACCAAUCACUACUGGUUCGAUUCAUCGCCUCUUUCGACCUCCGUCAUGCUCCAUUGUACCUACAAAACAGUUAACCCCACUUGCACCAAAUAAUGAUUAAGUAGAAUAAAUAAUAUGCGUAAAUAUACUAAAGUGCAGGGGAACUAUACCGAUGAAUAGCUAUAAAAUGAAUGAAUUACUUUCACGUGAAAAGGUUAUAAAUAUAGACCACUCAUUCAGAAUUCAUAUAGCCUCACUUAAUAUAAAUAAUAAACUCACGCCCUUCUUCGCCUCUAGAUUUCAAAUUUCAUCCCAAAUAAAACAAGGAAAUAGUUCUAGAGUAGGGAGUAGGGGUAGGGGUAGGGGCAGAGGUCGGAGUCGGAGUGAUAACCACAUAAGAGCUAUAGGACCACAAUAGCGUAGGAAUCGCCUCGUUUUAUAGAAAAGGAUAUUGUUGUCUCAUACUAUGACAACAACCACUAUCAAUUGCUACCUGAACUACAUCCUAGCUUACUACCGGAACGGCUAUGACAACAACCACUAUCAAUUGCUACCUGAACUACAUCCUAGCUUACUACCGGAACGGCUAUGACAACAACCACUAUCAAUUGCUACCUGAACUAUAGCCUAGCUUACUACCGGAACGGAAGACUAUAUUUUGUAUGUCCCGAAUGACAGUACCAUCUCUACAACAAAAUCUCUAGUGAAAAUUAAAGUAUGAUAAUUAAUGUUGCUUGGAAUCU